GACGAACGCUGGCGGCGUGCCUAAUACAUGCAAGUAGAACGCUGAAGGAGGAGCUUGCUCUUCUGGAUGAGUUGCGAACGGGUGAGUAACGCGUAGGUAACCUGCCUGGUAGCGGGGGAUAACUAUUGGAAACGAUAGCUAAUACCGCAUAAGAGUAGAUGUUGCAUGACAUUUGCUUAAAAGGUGCAAUUGCAUCACUUCCAGAUGGACCUGCGUUGUAUUAGCUAGUUGGUGGGGUAACGGCUCACCAAGGCGACGAUACAUAGCCGACCUGAGAGGGUGAUCGGCCACACUGGGACUGAGACACGGCCCAGACUCCUACGGGAGGCAGCAGUAGGGAAUCUUCGGCAAUGGACGGAAGGCUGACCGAGCAACGCCGCGUGAGUGAAGAAGGUUUUCGGAUCGUAAAGCUCUGUUGUAAGAGAAGAACGAGUGUGAGAGUGGAAAGUUCACACUGUGACGGUAUCUUACCAGAAAGGGACGGCUAACUACGUG
rnacentral:rRNA from 1 species